rnacentral:rRNA from 1 species
UAAGGAAUAUUGGUCAAUGGACGCAAGUCUGAACCAGCCAUGCCGCGUGAAGGAUGAAGGUCCUCUGGAUUGUAAACUUCUUUUAUCUGGGACGAAAACGGGAUUUUUAUCUCAAUUGACGGUACCAGAGGAAUAAGCACCGGCUAACUCCGUGCCAGCAGCCGCGGUAAUACGGAGGGUGCGAGCGUUAUCCGGAUUUACUGGGUUUAAAGGGUGCGUAGGUGGGCUUAUAAGUCAGUGGUGAAAUCUCCGAGCUUAACUUGGAAACUGCCGUUGAUACUAUAGGUCUUGAAUUAUCUGGAGGUAAGCGGAAUAUGUCAUGUAGCGGAGAAAUGCUUAGAUAUGACAUAGGACACCAAUUGCGAAGGCAGCUUACUACAUAUAAAUUGACGCUGAGGCACGAAAGCGUGGGGAUCAAACA